rnacentral:rRNA from 1 species
UACGUAGGGUGCAAGCGUUGUCCGGAAUUAUUGGGCGUAAAGAGCUCGUAGGCGGUUUGUCGCGUCGAAUGUGAAAACCCGGGGCUCAACCCCGGGCCUGCAUUCGAUACGGGCAGACUAGAGUUCGGUAGGGGAGUCUGGAAUUCCUGGUGUAGCGGUGAAAUGCGCAGAUAUCAGGAGGAACACCGGUGGCGAAGGCGGGACUCUGGGCCGAUACUGACGCUUAGGAGCGAAAGCGUGGGGAGCAAACAGG